rnacentral:RNase_P_RNA from 1 species
CCAGUGCAACAGAGAGCAAACCGCCGAUGGCCCGCGCAAGCGGGAUCAGGUAAGGGUGAAAGGGUGCGGUAAGAGCGCACCGCGCGGCUGGUAACAGUCCGUGGCACGGUAAACUCCACCCGGAGCAAGGCCAAAUAGGGGUUCAUAAGGUACGGCCCGUACUGAACCCGGGUAGGCUGCUUGAGCCAGUGAGCGAUUGCUGGCCUAGAUGAAUGACUGUCCACGACAGAACCCGGCUUAUCGGUCAGUUUCACCU